GGAAAUGGAGUCUUCCAAAAUGGAAGUUCCACGGCGUGGAGGACGUCCUCCCAGAGGCAUUCUGGGAAACGGAGUCUUACUUUCUGGAUCUGUGGGUCUGGAUCCCUGGUGGAGGAGGGGCCACGCAUCAAGUGUAACCAGGAUCCCUGGCUGCAUCCGGGUUCUUUUAUUUUCCUUUCCUUUCUGAUAAUUUUAGCUUUGAUCCUCCUGGGCCUCCUUCCUGUGAUAUAGGAGGGCGCUAUGGAAAAAAACAUGGAAGCAUUUCUGAGGAGAACACAGACCGAGGGAAAGGAAAUCCUCACAGUCAGUGUUUCUAUGGACCUCAGGGAUUCAUCACAAGCACCUUACUGGAUUGAUGCACCAGUUACAGAUGGAGAAAGUGAGGCAGAGAUGAAGUGACUUUUCAAGGAGACUAACCAAUCCUGAUCCCUCCCUAGUGUGAGAUUGGUCCUCUCAUAGACCAAACCAAUGCCUGGAAGUAGGGGACAGAGAAUCUUGGGGCAUGCUGGAGAAGGUAAUACCAACAUGUAGUCUUUUCAAAAUCCACAUUGAUAAAAAUAAAAGGAUUCCAUGAUAACCAUACACCACUAUUUGCCCAGCCAUUUGUGACUUUGAGUUUCCUUUUAAUUCUUGAUUCAUCAUCCCCCCCAAAAGCACCUUUUAAUAGAUGUCCUUUUCCUUUUGGUUUAUUAAUGCCCUUUAAACAUAGUUCCAAACUGAUCUCUCUAGAAAGCUGAAUUAGUUCACAACCGCAAAGUUCAUUCCUUUUUUAAUCUCACAUCUCCUCCAACUUUUGUCACUUUUCUGUCAUAAUAGCCAAUCUAAAAGAUGUGGGCUGGACCCUCAGACUUGUUAUCAUUUGCAUUUCUUCAAAUGAUAGUGAUCACCCUCCACCUAAGGAAAACACAUAAACUUGAGCACAUCAAUUAGGUAUUUUUUUCACUAUGAAUUCCCUGAUAUGAAGAGAUGAUCUCAGACUGAAAGCCUUCCUACAGGGAAUCCAUCUGGAACUGAUCUGUUCAGAAGACAUUUUAUCAUACUGAACAAGCUCUGGACUUUCCUUUUCAAUAUCUCUCUUCACUCAUGACAGGAAAAAGAUUUCUAGCCAAAAGGAAUUCCGCCUUGGCAAUAAGAGAUGAUUGCAGACCUAAUCUAAAUUAAUUUUGGUCGCCAGGGAAUAUCCCAAAUAAAAUACCCAAGUCAGUUUGGAAAUUUAUGGUGGUUUAAUUAAUAUAGAGGGAAGGAAUUAAGGAGAAGAGAGAGGGAAAAAGCAUAGGAUUUCUCCCACCUGGUCUGUGCCAGGGGGAGUUCAAAGUCCUCCUCCACGAGGUCUCUGAAGAUUGUGGCUUUCUAAGAGGAUAGUGUUUUGAAGGUAAAGGAGAAAGAAUCAGCCUAAACUAUGAGAGAGCUCAGUAAAGAUGCCUCACCUGAACUAGGUUACUCAGCUCCCUCCAGUAUGGUAUCCAAGAAAACACUGUUAAAUCCGGACAAUAGCAGCUGCCAUGCCAACAUGCCAAAACCCUCAGCAUGCUGCUGCCAGCCACCUCUCCACUGCCAAAGAGGCCAGAGAGAGGAAGUGACACAAAAUAUAUAGAAGAUUUUUACAUCACUUUCCUGUGUCUCACAUGUACCAAUGGUAGCUUAAGCCCAGGGGUCUGUCAGUUGUUUCUGAUUUGUCAUUUUCUAGCACAUGUCUGUCAUCCUCUUAAAUACUUAAUCCUUAAGUAUGGGGGUAGACAUUCCUGUUUUUGUUAGACUAAGUGGGGUGGAGUAAUCUAAAGUUCACAUAGGCUAGUUCUCUUGGGGCUGUAAGCAAGUGGAGGUAGGGAGCAGCUGGCUUUUAUAUUCCCUAUGCUCUAAGUUGAUUUUAAUAAAUAGUAUUAAAUAUAAGACUUGGGAGUAUUGUAUAUUAGUUUUUACAAUUUGGCAACCACCAAAGGAUCUGAACUGAGAGCUUUUUAAGAACUCCUCUGCAGCUCAUUCCCCACCCCCCAGAAGUUUACCUUGAGUAGAGCUUGUCCCCAAACCACCCUGGGUGCUACUGCUCAAUAAAUGUCAUGGCGGUAUCAGGGACACCCCUAAACGUUCCUAAGCUUUCCCCUAGAAUAGUGUCCAUAGGACCUUUUGCUGUGAAACAGUCUUUCCUCUUAAUGCCUGGCUCCCCCAUAAAUCUGCUGGGGAGAGAUCAUUUAUGCAAGCUUAGGGCCACAAUAACUUGUUCUCCAGAUGGUUCUAUGUCAAUGGAAUUGCCUGAGGAAUCCUCAACUUUUCUCCUUGUACAUCUCUCAGAUAUUCAUGAGAUGAAGGAGACUCCUAUUUUUGAGAUCCCAACUGAUAGACCUGAGUCUCUCUGGGCCAUAUCAUCUUCUCCUGUUGGUCUACUUAAAUUGGUUGUCCCUGCCCUAAAUCAAACAAAAUCUAGCCUACCUCCUUCCAUUCCUCAGUACCCUCUUUAGAAGAAGGCUAUUGAUGGCAUUACACCAGUAAUAAAUUCAUUGAUUAACCAAGGCAUCAUAAUACCCUGUAAAUCAGAAUACAAUACGCCCAUCCUCCCUGUUAAAAAGCCCAAACUGGGGCCCCAUGGCAAGCAUCUCUAUCAAUUUGUCCAGGAUUCUGAGAGCUGUGAAAAAUCACAUUAUAAAGAGACACCCUGUAGUUUCCAAAAUAAAUACCAUUAUAUCUUCUAUUGCUAGCACAGCUGCAUACUUUACAAUAGUAGACUUGUUCUCAGCUUUCUUUUCAAUGCCUAUACAUGAGAACUCCAGGCAUAUCUUUGCUUUCACAUGGAAGGGCUCUAAGUGGACAUGGGCUCCUUUGCCUCACAGUUUCAUGGAGAGUCCUACGUUGUUCACACAAUUCUUAACUGCUGAUACAGAUGCCAUAAAAAUUUUAAUGCAGCCAUUUAAUUAAGUAUAUGAUUUUCCCUUGGCUUCACCAAAUUCUGAAUUGUACCAAGAGGAUAGCAAACAUCUUCUUUUGGAGCUACAUAAGAGAGGCUACAAGGUCUCCAAAGACAAAGUUCAGUGGUGUCCCCCCAAGGUACAAUAUUUAGGCUUCAUUUUAACUCCUGGGUCCCAUUUAAUUUCUCCCAAGCAUAUAGAAAAUAUCCAAAAGUUAAGCACUCCUACCACUAAAAAGCAAUUGAGGGCAAUUUUUGGAGCAACAGGAUUUUGUCAGCAGUGGAUGCCUUGCAAUAGAGAAAUCACUUAUGCAAAAGGGAACUGCCCCCAAAUUGGCUUUUUGUCAACCCAAUAAUAAUUGGUUUUGUUCUCUUUUCCUUUUAUUUCCUUGGAAAAUGUAUUGUCAAUGCAAACCUUGUUACUGAACUUCUUUCUGCCAUCCAGCUCCCUGUAGCUAUAGCUGUCAUUCACUGCUCUACACAUACAGGUGGCACUGAUUCUUUCUCCAGGGGAAAUAGCCAAGCAGAUAUCGCAGCCAAAAUAGCAGCCUUAGAAGGCCCUGAAUUAAUUAUUCCACUAACAAUUACUGAUAAUUUGGAUCUAUUCCUUUCUUAUAACGACAAGUUAUAAGGAAAACUGGAAGCAGAAAUUUAAAGCAAAACAGAUAAAUGGAGUAUGGGUAUCAAUAGAUGGCAAAUCUCUGCUCCUUAGAGCUUUCUAGAAACAGAUUUGUCACUACAUUCAUGAACAAUGCCAUUUUGGCACCCAAGGCAUUGUAGAUUCUGAUAAAAGAGCAUGGAUAGCACUUGGAAUGACUACAGUUGCCUCCAAAGUAUGUACAACUUCUACCUUCUAAGCCUUUAAUGAAUACAUAUUUCAAGGAAAAGCUUUUGGGGGACAUCCUCUCACUUAUACACAAAUUGAUAUUAUCUCUAUGCCAAAAGCUGGACAGUAUAAAUUUUGUCUGAUCAUAGUCAAUCAACUGACCAGAUAGCCUAAAACAUUUUCUACUACUCAUGCCAUAGCAGCUUUUGUUGACAAAGUCCUUUUGAAAGAAAUAAUUCCAUGUUUUCGCCUGCCAGCAUGUAUUGAUUUGGAUAAAGGAACUCAUUUCACUGAUUUUGGCUUAUCUCAAAUUUAUUCAUAUUUGGGAAUAACUCCCAAAUUUCAUACAUCAUAUCAUCCCCAGAGCUCGUCAAUUUGAAUGAAUGAAUAAAGAACUUAAAACCAUGGUUGGCAAAUCAUGCAAGGACAGUCAUUUAAACUGGCCUGAAAUUCUACCUUUGGCCCUAUUUUAUCUCAGAAGCAGACCCAGAGGUGAUUUACACAUCUCACCAUUUGAGAUGCUAUUUGGACAUCCACCUAUUCAGGCACAACCAUUUACCCCUGCCUACACCUCACUAUAAGGAGGGGAUACAACCAUUGCUACAUAUAUCAGACAAUUAUAAACAAAAAUAAAAAGAACUCCAUGACUCUGGAGCUGCUGUUCAAGCAGGGCCAAUAGACUUCUCAUUUCAUGAUUUAAACCUAGGUGAUAGUGUGUACAUAAAGAAUUUCAAAUGUAUUGGGUCGACUUAACCUUUGUAUGAUGGACCAUUCCAGAUCCCAGUAACUACACCAACAGCCAUAAAAUUGGAGAGAGGGACUCGUGGAGUCAUUAUAGUCAUGUAAAACGAGUGCCUUUUGUUGAUGUUGAAUACUUGCUUGUACUGAAUGUAUUUGACUACUAAAUGUGAUUAGACUUCUUUAUUGCUAGAUUUGUACUAUUUUGUUGCACUUUAUUUGGUUGAUCCUUGUAUUUGCACAAAUUCCAUUGUAGGGAAACACAUAUACUAACUCAAAGAAGAAAAUCUGUAUGAGUGACCUUUAUUGACCUGGUGUGCCUUUUUUGACAUUUUGUGACUUUUAAAGUAUUUUUUUGUAUUUUUUGAAUGUGUUAUUGCUUUAUCAACCUCAUUUGCACUCGCAUUGUUUUGUCUACCUCAUUAGCACUCACAAUGAGGAUCAUAAAUCAAAGAGGAAAUGAAUUUUAUUUUUUGGAAACUAGUCUCUCUGCUUUACCUCUGUAAUUGUGAAAUAUACACAAUUUUUAUAUUUUGUUUUCUUCCUACAUGUGUCACACAGUAUUUGAUUUUUUCCCCUUCUUUUCUAAUUUUUUUUGCCUUUGAAACAUGUCACUAGUAUUGAACAAGCAUUUAUUUCUACUAUUUUGACUUUUUGCAGUAGAAUAAGCUAAGAUGAAAAGCAUUCCCCCAAAAAAGCUUUGGACUAUGGCAACCCGCCACCAGUUAUUUAACUAUUAUGAGACUUUUGCUCGUUCAGUAUGUGUAAUCCAAGGAGAAACUGACAACAAAGGAGUACAGAACUUGACCCACAAAGUGCCAAACAAGCUUAAAAAUGUAAAAGAAACCCAGGCAAUACUACAGGGAUUGAUGACAUUCUGCACAAGAAAACACAAUGACUUGAUCAUGUGUGAGACUUGAGGUUUCGGCUAUUUUAAUAUGUGUUAAAAGUUUCUCUCCAGUGUGGAUUCUCUAAUGUGUAGCAAAACUCAUCCUGUGUGUGAAAGCCUUUCCACAUAGUUUACAUUCAUUCCAGCGUGGAUGCUCUGAUGCUUAACAAUAUCACCCCUCUGUGUGAAAACCUUUCCACACUGUAUACAUUCAAAAGGUUUCUCUACAGUGUGGAUUUUCAGAUGUACAGCAAGAUGACUGCUCCGUCUGAAAGCUUUUCCACAUUGUUUACAUUCAUAAGGCUUCUCUCCAGAGAGGAUUCUUUGAUGCUUAUCAAGAGAGCCCCUCUCUGUAAAAGCCUUUCCACAUUGUGUACAUUCAUAAGGUUUGUCUCCAGACUGGAUUCUUUGAUGGUCAGCAAGAUGCCCCCCCCUCCAUUUGAAUGCCUUUCCACAUUGUAUACAUUCAUAAGGUUUCUCACCAGUGUGGAUUCUCUGAUGUGCAGUAAGAGAGCACCUCUGUGUGAAAGCCUUUCCACAUUGUUUACAUUCAUACGGUUUCUCUCCAGAGUGGAUUCUCUAAUGUUUAGCAAGAUUUCCCCUCUGUGUGAAAGCCUUUCGACACUGUGUACAUUCAUAAGGUUCCUCUCCAGUGUGUAUCCUCUGAUGUGCAGCAAGACUCUCCCUGUGUAUGAAAGUCUUUCCAUACUGUGUACAUUCAUAAGAUUUGUCCCCAGUGUGGAUUUUCAGAUGUGAAGAAACGUGGGUACUCCAUGUGAAAGUCUUUCCACAUUGUGUACAUUCAUGACAUUUCUCUCCAGUGUGGAUUCUCUCAUGCUGAGCAAGAUUUCCCCUCCAUUUGAAAGACUUUCCACACUGUUUACAUUCAUAAGGUCUCUCUUCAGAGUGGAUUAUUUUAUAUGAACCAAGCUCAGAAUUCUGACUGAAAGAUCGAUCUCACUCCUUUAUUACUCACAGAAAGCAUCUCUGUAUUUUUACUAUUUGGAUGUCUUCUGAGGUUGAAGCUUGAGCAAUAAGAGAUUCUCCUUAGGUUACACUGGUACAUGGACUUUUCGGGUUUCUCAUUUGUCUGUUCAAAUCCCAAUUUUUCCGAAAAGCAUUUGAUGUAUUCACUAUCCCAACAAUAGUAAUUUCCUGAGUUCAAUUUCAUAUACUGAUUUAGGCCUCAAUGGUGGAUGAAUUUCUCUGUAAUUUCAUCAAAUUCAUAGUCAUUCUUUGGAUUUUUAUUUACCUUGAUUUUAAAGUCUCAGAUUUCUCUGAAAUUGAAGUCACAGAGAUCCUUAUUCAUGCCUCUUUGAGGACCAGAUCACUCCACAAGAAAGCUCAGCUUUGGAGACAUCUCCUUCACUUCAAGAUUAGUCUCUGCUUCUGAAGAAAACAAAUGAUAUAAAUACAGAUGGAAAGGACACACACACACACACGCAAUAUAAAUUCUUUCCUCUGAUGGUAAUAAGUAAAUAGAUUUUUAUUCUAUUUCCCAAGGACAAAAGGAGUUUUCAAACUUAAACAAUCAGAACCCGACUUUGGAGACACCGUUUGGUCAUAACUGCAAGUUGGAACAUUUUAGAAAUACUUUCACAAUAAAUAACAACGAACCCUCAAAAUGGAUCUGUGACAAAGACAGGACCAAGGUUCUCAUCAUUCUUCACAACUCUUUUCAUAAGUAAACAAUGGAGAAGUGACCUGACCAACUUCUUUGCAAGUGCACUAGAACUCAAACCCUGGGCCUAAGAACAUUCUGCUCAUAGUAUUGAAUAAUCUUUAUCCAUUGCCCUUUCUGUAUUUCUAUUAAA